AAUGCCUUCUUUACAUCUGCCUUUAAUAGGCAGAUCAGUUAUCCUCAGAGCACUUUAUGCCCUGAUCUGGAAGUCUGGGCUGGUUCACAGCAUACACCCCUGGUGAUUCAGGUGGAGACAGAGAGCUCCUCCUCCAUCUGGAGUGUCACAAGUCCAAGGGAUCAGAUGGGAUCCACCCUCGGGUGCUGAGGGAGUUGGUGGGGGUGGUUGCCGAGCCACUCUCUGCCAUCUACCGUCACUUCUGGUUAUCUGGAGAGGUCCCAGAGGAUUGGAGGCUUGUCGAUGCGACUCCCAUCUACAAGAAGGGCUGUAAGAAGGAUCUGGGGAACUACAGGCCGGUCAGCCUGACCUCAGUACCAGGGAAAGGCCUUGGAUCCAUUCUGCAUCCUUGUUUUGAGCCCUAUGCCUGGUCCCAUCUCCUGCUGCAAGGACUCCUUCUGAAAGGACUCCAUGGAUAGACACAGUACCUGGUGGAUAACUGCAAGUCUAGACUGUUGAUGGAUGUUUUUAACAGCCUUUGUUUCUGCUCACCC
ensembl:lncRNA